GUUCUAUGCGUUCAAAUGCAGAGGCGAAAAUCAUCAGAGAUCCAGUUGACUCCAAGAGCUGGGGCUUUAAGAAGAACCAUAAAUAUCAUGAGACUCAACCAAAUCAUGAGACAUGACAACACUGCUACUGUCUGCACAGUCUAUAUGGAGGCAGAAUGAGCAGCCAAUACAAAAGGCCUCCGCAAACCAGUUUGGAAGGAAUGCUGCACAAAAUAUGAAGGCAAGCAUCUACCCAGAACUUUUCCUCUGAGGGCUGCAGCCAUUCAGCUAUCAUUUUAGAAGCCUGCUCAUAUGCCUUUGACCUUCCCAGUUUCAUGAGAAAGCAGGAGAAAUACCAAAAUCCCCCAAGGAACCACUAAUCUUGUUUUCUAUCCCUCCUGACUAUUCAAGCAGAACUAAAAAUCUAGCA